UAAUAUUAUUAACAGCUGACCUCUCUCCAGCAGAGGGUUGAUCUCCUUUAAAGUUAAUAUCGCGAUCAUGUGACCAGUCGCUCUUAAAGGACACACAGCUGGGUUCAGGAUCAGGUUCAGGAUCAGGUUCAGGAGACUCUGGUCUCUGCUUGAUCCUGAUAGAAAAACCCAUUUAUUUAGGGUCACAUGUUCAGGUGGAGUAAAGUCUCCCAGCACAUAAUAUAAUAUGAAUAUGUCUGUAGGCCUAAUUAUUAACAUUUAUUUGCCAAUAAUGCUUUACUCUCUGUCGAAAAGUCAAUAAAAAUAUCUUUUGAAA